rnacentral:rRNA from 1 species
GGAAUUUUACGCAAUGGGGGAAACCCUGACGUAGCGACACCGCGUGAGCGAAGAAGCCCUUUGGGGUGUAAAGCUCUGUCAGCAGGAACGAAAAAAAUGACGGUACCUGCAGAGGAAGCAUCGGCUAACUACGUGCCAGCAGCCGCGGUAAGACGUAGGAUGCGAGCGUUGUCCGGAUUCAUUGGGCGUAAAGAGUUCGUAGGCGGUUUGUUAAGUCUGAUGUUAAAGAUCGGGGCCCAACCCUGGGAGUGCAUUGGAUACUGGCAAGCUGGAGUGCAGUAGAGGCGAGUGGAAUUCCCAGUGUAGCGGUGAAAUGCGUAGAUAUUGGGAAGAACACCGGUGGCGCAGGCGACUCGCUGGGCUGUAACUGACGCUGAGGAACGAAAGCUAGGGGAGCAAAUG